rnacentral:tRNA from 1 species
UAGCCUAGUGGUUAAGGCUACGGAUCGCCAAUCCGGAGACAGCGGGUUCGAUUCUCGU